UACGGGGGGGGUAAGCGUUGUUCGGAUUCACUGGGCGUAAAGGGUGCGUAGGUGGUGGAGUAAGUUUGAUGUGAAAUCUCCGGGCUUAACCCGGAAACUGCAUUGAAUACUAUUCCGCUGGAGGUUUGGAGGGGGGACUGGAAUUCUCGGUGUAGCAGUGAAAUGCGUAGAUAUCGAGAGGAACACCAGUGGCGAAGGCGAGUCCCUGGACAACACCUGACACUGAGGCACGAAAGCUAGGGGAGCAAACAGG
rnacentral:rRNA from 1 species